CCUAUGAUCUCAANCAGGCGGGACUACCCGCUGAACUAA
rnacentral:rRNA from 1 species